rnacentral:rRNA from 1 species
AUUGAACGCUGGCGGCAGGCCUAACACAUGCAAGUCGAGCGGAGCGGCCGACGGGUGCGUAAUGCCUAGGAAUCUGCCUGGUUGUGGGGGCUAACGUCCGGAAACGUGCGCUAAUACCGCAUACUAUCAGAUGAGCCUAGGUCGGAUUAGCUAGUUGGUGGGGUAACGGCCUACCAAGGCGCCGAUCCGUAACUGGUCUGAGAGGAUGAUCAGUCACACUGGAACUGAGACACGGUCCAGACUCCUACGGGAGGCAGCAGUGGGGAAUAUUGGACAAUGGGCGAAAGCCUGAUGCAGCCAUGCCGCGUGUAUGAUGAAGGCCUUCGGGUUGUAAAGUACUUUUGGCAGAGAAGCGGUAUCUGCAGAAGAAGCACCGGCUAACUACGUGCCAGCCGCCGCGGUAAUAC